GCGAGGACGUUCCUUUCCUCAUCCCCGUGAUGACGCAGGCUGAGGCUGCCCCAGAGCAGGCGGAGACGGGGCAUGUCAGACGUUUCUCAAAGCACCGCCCUGUCACAGUUGCCAGGCAACCGUAGCAGCCAGCACUUCGCAGCACUCCGAGCAGGCGUUUGGGAAAAAAAAAAAUCAGGUCAGGAAACUCCUUCAAGGGCAAGAUGGAAAACUUCUGAGAACUCUCACAGUGCUUUAUCCAGUUUUUUAACAGGGCAACUCCACAGAAAAUGCAGCAGAUAUUAUAUGGGGCGCUUCACCCAACUCUUCCACAGGCCAGGUCCACAGAAUCUUCAUCAGAAAAGUGAGAAAGCACCAAGUCUUUGCACAAGACACAGGAAAAAAGAGAACCCUAUGCGAGUCAAUGUAAUUCUAAAUAUGAUAUAGAUAGAAAUCUUACAUUGUGAAAAAUGCCUCUCAGGGAGGGAAACCAUCAUGUAAAGAUGAAAGUGUUAGUAAUGAUUCAAUUACCUGAGGUGUUUUGGAAGACAGAGCAUUUGGGAAAUGUCAAUCAGAUCCUGUUGUGGGGUCAUCAGUUGAUUCCCCAAUGAUUCAAAGUUUAAUGAAUUGUUAGUAUUGAGUUUAUAACCUUUGUUAUUUUUAAUUUUUAUAAAUAAUGCUGAUAGAUGGUGAUUGUUGUUAAUGUUGGAUGAAUGCUUUGGGAAGGUUGUCUUAACCCCUUCAAGCACUUCUUGUUGAUGAGUUGAUUUUGUUGUAUGAGUCUUCAGAUUUUUGUGAUGAGAAUUGUUGUUGGGGUGUUUUUGUGGUGUUUGCAGCUGGCUUUCAUGUGUUUUCCUAUCUCUGUGUGAUUAUCUGCAAGGCACAUGUCUCUUCAGGAUCUUGUUCUUCUUUAUUUCCUAACUACUCAUAUGUUUCUGAGGGUUUUUUUAUCCAGAUUUCCAGUCUUGUGGUUCCUUCUAAUUAUUAUUAUUGCAGAAGUACUCCAGCAGAGAAUUCAAGAAGUUUGCUGUGUUUGAAGAAUCUCUGGCUUGACAGAAACUUCGGAAGGAUUCAAUUAUUUGCUGAUUCAAUUGCCUAGAAAACCAGUUAAGGCAGCUCCUUUAGAAAAAUACCACACCCCUAUUGAAAACUUCAGGGUGAGAAGAAUCGAAGUUUAACCAUUCACCUCUUCCCUCUCCCAACUCAGCUGCAGGAGUUGUCGUAGCCCAAGAGGUAUGGCUUAAAUCUAGGUGACACCUGACAAAUACGUUAUUUAGGACAAGUUUUUCUGUCUAGUUUUUAGCUUUCUAACAGAAACACUCAUGUUUUUGUGAGCCAUUGUGGUUCUAGAGUGUACCUAAAAAUUGCAAGUACUUGCAAGUUCUGUUGGGAAAUUAUGGUUACAUUGUAUAUUUACCCUCUGUUUUCUUUAGCCAGAUCCCUUGGCAGAUAUUAACAGAACAAGCUAACAAUCCUUAAAAUAGAUCUGCAGGAUGAGUUGCAUUUCAUAAAACACACAGCUAGGAAAGCAGAGGUAGGGAGGCUAAGUGGCUUUUUAAAACAGCAAACAGAGAAAGACUAACUUACAAAUGUUUCCCAAAUCAAACAUGCUUCUCACUACUUGAAACCCAGAACUUCCAAACUGCAUUCAGUAAAGCACAUUUUCUUCACAAGUGAUCAGAGGCAUCAUAUCAAAGAAAAAAAUAUUUUCCCAGUGUUAUACAAAUCACUACCAUUUUGACUUCCCGUUUGUAUUACCUUUCCAUUGUUUUGCAUUAAAAUGCUGAUUUGUCCUUGAAAUUGCUGGUGGUCCAUGGAAAGUUUAUAACAUGCAUCUCUGGGCUGCAUCCCUCUGAGCUUUCAAUCCUGAACUCUGCUGGGAACCUCUGGAGUUCAUCAGUUAGCAAAGUGAUUAAUUGGUAAUGAUCUUGCUAUUGAUUGUGGUAAGCAUCAGAAACACUACUAAUAUGAGUCCCUCUUAGAGCUGGGGACCUCUGUUUGGGUCUUACAUUUAAGCUGUCUCUAGUAUCUGCUCUAAAAAGGCUGGUUUGUAUGCUAUAACUAGGUAAUCAGAAUUACAUAAAUGUACUUUUCCUUCAUCACUUCUUAAUUUAAAUAAGAAUGGGAAUAUGUUCAUAAA